UCUCCGUAGGUGAACCUGCGGAGGGAUCAUUACAGAGUUCUCGCCCUCGCGGGUAGUUCUCCCACCCACUGUUAUCGUUACUGUGUUGCUUUGGCGGGCCGCCGGGCCCCGCUCGGCCGCCGGCUCCGGCUGGCGCACCCACGCCAGAGGCCCAGCAAACUCUGAAUGUUAGUGUCGUCUGAGUACUAUAUAAUAGUUAAAACUUUCAACAACGGACCUCUUGGUUCUG
rnacentral:misc_RNA from 1 species